CAGCCCUUUCUUGGCCUGGACUGACUGCGUCCCAUUGGCUGGGCUUCUCUGCUGUAAAGAGGAAGACUGCUUUUCCAGGAGUCAGCGGAGAAGCUUUAUCCAACACCUCACAGCAGGCCUUAUAAAGACUGUCUACUGCGUAUGACCUGGACUAUCCCUGCUAGUUUGCUUGGUAUUCCAUCGUGACCUACUACCACCAUCUUCAGAUACCACACCUAACUACAUUGUAAAUUCUGAAAUUGUGGGUCACAUUCAAGCUCUGAUCUUGAGUUUGGGUCAGUUUAUUUUUUCAGUGCCAGCUUGUGGGUCCUAUAUCAGCACUAACAAUAAAUGCAGACUUUUGCCAUG